GUCGGUGCAGCUGUUUCCAGAGACCAGGGUGUGGCAUGGUAGGAGGUCUCCGUCACAGAACGUCCCAUCGCGUGUGUUUGCGUGCGGGUGAGUGGAGAGGGGCCAGAGAAGAGGACUGAGCCACAAGACAGCACGCUCUGCCUCUUCCUCUUCCUCAGCGGUGUCAGGUACACAGGAGCAUCUGCCUCGUUUAGGACGACCUCAUGCUACACUACAGCUCCAGCAAACACGUCCAUAAGCAUCAAAGUGCUCUGAGUGUAGGUGAGUUCACAGAAGACCAUCCCAUGGUGGAAGAAAGCGUCUCUUUAGUCGGGAGCAAGAAGCAGAAAUC